GCUCAGAUAGUUUAAGUAAAACGUUGGUCUGUGGAUCCAAAGAUAUAAUUUUUGUUAUUUUGGGCA
rnacentral:tRNA from 1 species